ACCACCAGCAGCACAAUGAUGAUGUUACUGACUCUACUGCUGACCAUCCUGGAGUUCCUGGUUCAGGGUUCAUCAGGAGACAAAAUCAUGACACAGACUCCAAAAUCUUUGUCUGUUGUUCAAGGACAGACUGCCACCAUUACAUGUAAAGCUAAUGAAAAUGUUGGCAAUGAGGUAGACUGGUACCUUCAGAAACCUGGGGAAGCAAUUAAACUUCUUAUUUAUCAAGUAUCAAACCGUCAGCCUGGAGUUUCUGAUCGUUUCAGUGGAAGUCGUUCUGGAAAUGUUUACACUCUGACCAUCAGCAGAGUUCAGGGUGAAGAUGCAGGAAUUUAUCACUGUCAGCAAGAUUACAACACACCGUUCACACAGUGAUACAACGUCGUACAAAAACCUCCCUCAGCAACAGAGGAACUGAUCCACAGUUCCAUCGAGGCAGAAGUUUUGCAUAAACCCCAGAUAGUAACAGUUGAU